UACGGAGGGGGCGAGCGUUAUUCGGAAUCGUUGGGCGUAAAGGGCGCGUAGGCGGCCCCGUAAGUCUUGGGUGAAAGCCCUCGGCUCAACCGAGGAAUUGCCUUGGAUACUGCGGGGCUCGAGGCUGGAAGAGGACAGUGGAAUUCCCGGUGUAGCGGUGAAAUUCGUAGAUAUCGGGAGGAACACCGGUGGCGAAGGCGGCGAUCUGGGUAGAUACUGACGCUGAGGUGCGAAAGCGUGGGGAGCAAACAGG
rnacentral:rRNA from 1 species